AAAUGAAACUAAUAGCUGUAGAAUCUUUCCCUUUUUAACGUUAAUAUUUGAUAUUAACAAAAGUCUUUUUUUCCAGGUAAAUCAAAAUAAUCAUUAUUUACGGAUUCAACUUAAAAAAAGUACAGGAUAUUAUGUAAUCGAGACUUGGACCAACUAACUUUUGUUGUUGUUUACAGGGUAUGACAAGAAGAGUACAGAAAAAAAUCAAAUCCUUGAAAUGCUUUUAACACAAAUUACAAACAAUUUAAUUGAGGGGGCAGUCCUAGAGGAGUAAAAAGAAACGAAAGGAACGGAACGGAACGGAACGAAGACUCUCUUGCUCUUGUUGCGUUUUUAUCAUAUUUUUUGUUGGUAUUUACUUUUUAGUCAAAGUGAAAGACUAAACCACGAUUACUUCCUCUCCUCUCCCACAACCCCAGCCAGGCGACCCCACUUAGCCACAACCAUUUCUAGCCAAGCAUCUAUCCCGUUCUCCUUUCCUCCUCCUUGUCGUCGGCUAUCAUCAAAAAAGUUGCUAAAGCAACGAUCCAGAAAUUCAAUUUACUUGAACAAUUCUGUAAUUAAAGUUAACUUUCACUUGUCCCAAAAAAAAGCAAGAAGAGGACAAGAAAUAAAAGCAACAAC